rnacentral:rRNA from 1 species
AGAACGAACGCUGGCGGCAGGCCUCAAACAUGCAAGUCUAGGGGGUGUAGCAAUACAUCACCGGCGGACGGGUGCGUAACACGUGGGAAUAUACCUUUUGGUUCGGAACAACGCAGGGAAACUUGCGCUAAUACCGAAUGUGCCCUUACGGGGAAAGAUUUAUCGCCAAAGGAUUAGCCCGCGUAGGAUUAGCUAGUUGGUGAGGUAAUGGCUCACCAAGGCUCCGAUCCUUAGCUGUUCUGAGAGGAAGAUCAGCCACACUGGGACUGAGACACGGCCCAGACUCCUACGGGAGGCAGCAGUUGGGAAUCUUGGACAAUGGGGGAAACCCUGAUCCAGCCAUGCCGCGUGAGUGAUGAAGGCCUUCGGGUUGUAAACUCUUUCGACGGGGACGAUAAUGACGGUACCGUAGAAGAAGCUCGGCUAACUUCGUGCCAGCAGCCGC